rnacentral:rRNA from 1 species
AGUGAACGCUGGCGGUAGGCCUAACACAUGCAAGUCGAACGGCAGCACAGUAAGAGCUUGCUCUUACGGGUGGCGAGUGGCGGACGGGUGAGGUAUACAUCGGAAUCUACUUUUUCGUGGGGGUUAACGUAGGGAAACUUACGCUAAUACCGCAUACGACCUACGGGUGAAAGCAGGGGAUCUUCGGACCUUGCGCGAUUGAAUGCGCCGAUGUUGGAUUAGCUAGUUGGCGGGGUAAAGGCCCACCAAGGCGGCGAUCCGUAGCUGGAGGGAGAGGAGGGUCAGCGACACUGGAGCUGAGACACGGUCCAGGCUCCUACGGGAGGGAGCAGUGGGGAAUAUUAGACAAUGGGCGCAAGCCUGGUCCAGCCAUACCGCGUGGGUGAAAGAGGCCUUCGGGUUGUGAAGCCCUUCUGUGGGGAGAGAAAAGCAGCAGGUUAAUACCCAGCUGUUCUGACGGUACCCAAAGAAUAAGCACCGGCUAACUUCGUG